UGGGGAAUAUUGGACAAUGGGCGAAAGCCUGAUCCAGCAAUGCCGCGUGAGUGAUGAAGGCCCUAGGGUUGUAAAGCUCUUUUACCCGGGAUGAUAAUGACAGUACCGGGAGAAUAAGCUCCGGCUAACUCCGUG
rnacentral:rRNA from 1 species